GUUUAAAUAGUUUAUUUAGAAUAGCAGUUUGUGGAAUUGCAGGUGUUUAAUAAAACUUUAGACC
rnacentral:tRNA from 1 species